GUUUGAAUGAAGCAACAAGGAAUUAGGUAGAUUGUGGAGCUUGAGCUACUGGUGAUCAUAUUCUUCAAAGAAACCAUGAGGAAGACAUUCACUUGUCGAAUGACAUGACAAAUUUUGAUUACCAUUGAUAUUGUGAUCCUUCACUGCAAGAUUGGAAUCAUCAAUAUCCCCCAUACAUUUAUCAGCCUAACAUUCCACACCAACCAUUUGAGCUACAAUUAGAGAAGAGAGUGGGACUUGAAGAGGCAAUAGCUCCAUUGGAAAAUUUUAACAACAUUAUGAUGAACAAUGAGCUAUCAUUCUAUGAGGAGCAAACAAAUGAACAAAGUU
rnacentral:misc_RNA from 1 species